UGCCGGCGGGCGGGGUGCGCCCUGGUGUGCCGCACUCCCAGCCUGUCCACUUCCAGAGCUGUCCCCGGGCCCGGUUCUGGGGCGAAAAUGCCGGCGCUUCACAUAGAAGAUUUGCCAGAAAAGGAAAAGCUGAAGAUGGAAGUUGAGCAACUUCGCAAAGAAGUGAAGUUGCAGAGGCAACAGGUGUCUAAAUGUUUUGAAGAAAUAAAGAACUACAUUGAAGAACGUUCUGGAGAGGAUCCUCUGGUGAAAGGAAUUCCAGAAGACAAGAAUCCUUUUAAAGAGAAAGGCAGCUGUAUUAUUUCAUAAAUAACUCUGGAGAGAAAUUUCAUCCUCAGUAGAAGAACUAGUUUGUUUUGGUUUUCUGAAAUAAAACCGAAAUUCCUUUCAAAGAAGGAAAACAAAAUUUAAGGACUUUCUUAAAUACUUAUACUGAUAUGGUUAUGUAUAAAAGCUGUGUGCUUCUCAUCUUUGCUCACUGUACUCCCUUGUUAAGAGGGCAGAGAGUAUCAAAUGGACAAUUAUGGAAAUAAGGACAUUACUUGUGCAUGACUCACUUCUUUCAGUAUAUUGCUUGAUGCCUUAAAUAAAGUUUUA